rnacentral:rRNA from 1 species
UACGGAGGGUGCUAGCGUUGUUCGGAAUUACUGGGCGUAAAGCGCACGUAGGCGGAUAGUUAAGUCGGGGGUGAAAUCCAGGGGCUCAACCCCGGAACUGCCUUCGAUACUGGCUGUCUAGAGAUCGAGAGAGGUGAGUGGAAUUCCGAGUGUAGAGGUGAAAUUCGUAGAUAUUCGGAGGAACACCAGUGGCGAAGGCGGCUCACUGGCUCGAUACUGACGCUGAGGUGCGAAAGCGUGGGGAGCAAACAGG